GACGAACGCUGGCGGCGUGCUUAACACAUGCAAGUCGAACGGAAAGGCCCUGCUUUUGUGGGGUGCUCGAGUGGCGAACGGGUGAGUAACACGUGAGUAACCUGCCCUUGACUUUGGGAUAACUUCAGGAAACUGGGGCUAAUACCGGAUAGGAUCUCCUGCUGCAUGGUGGGGGUUGGAAAGUUUCGGCGGUUGGGGAUGGACUCGCGGCUUAUCAGCUUGUUGGUGGGGUAGUGGCUUACCAAGGCUUUGACGGGUAGCCGGCCUGAGAGGGUGACCGGCCACAAUGGGACUGAGAUACGGCCCAGACUCCUACGGGAGGCAGCAGGGGGGAAUAUUGCACAAUGGGCGGAAGCCUGAUGCAGCAACGCCGCGUGCGGGAUGACGGCCUUCGGGUUGUAAACCGCUUUCGCCUGUGACGAAGCGUGAGUGACGGUAAUGGGUAAAGAAGCACCGGCUAACUACGUG
rnacentral:rRNA from 1 species